rnacentral:rRNA from 1 species
GACGAAUGCUGGCUGCGUGCUUAACACAUGCAAGUCGAACGGUGAAGGAGAGCUUGCUCUCCGGAUCAGUGGCGAACGGGUGAGUAACACGUGGGCAACCUGCCCCUCACUCUGGGAUAACGCCGGGAAACCGGCGCUAAUACCGGAUACGACCAGGCGCGACAUCUCGCCUGGUGGAAAGAAUUUCGGUGAGGGAUGGGCCCGCGGCCUAUCAGCUAGUUGGUGGGGUAACGGCCCACCAAGGCGACGACGGGUAGCCGGCCUGAGAGGGCGACCGGCCACACUGGGACUGAGACACGGCCCAGACUCCUACGGGAGGCAGCAGUGGGGAAUAUUGCGCAAUGGGCGAAAGCCUGACGCAGCGACGCAGCGUGAGGGACGACGGCCUUCGGGUUGUAAACCUCUUUCAGCGGGGACGAAGCGAAAGUGACGGUACCCGCAGAAGAAGCACCGGCUAACUACGUGCCAGCCGCCGCUGUAAUAC